CCUACGGGAGGCAGCAGUGAGGAAUAUUGGUCAAUGGACGAGAGUCUGAACCAGCCAAGUAGCGUGAAGGAUGACUGCCCUAUGGGUUGUAAACUUCUUUUAUAUGGGAAUAAAAUGUUCCACGUGUGGGAUUUUGUAUGUACCAUAUGAAUAAGGAUCGGCUAACUCCCUGCCACCAGCCGCGGUAAUACGGAGGAUCCCCGCGGUAUCCGGCUUUAGUGGGUUCAAGGGGAGCGUAGGUGGAUUGUUAAGUCAGUUGGGAAAGUGUGCGGCUCAACCGUACAAUUGCCGUUGAAACUGGCAGUCGUGAGUACAGUAGAGGUGGGCGGAAUUCGUGGUGUAGCGGUGAAAUGCUUAGAUAUCACGAAGAA
rnacentral:rRNA from 1 species